GCCCUCGUAGCUCAGUUGGAUAGAGCACGUGAUUCCUAAUCACGGGGUCGUGGGUUCGAGUCCCGCCGGGGGUA
rnacentral:tRNA from 1 species